rnacentral:rRNA from 1 species
AUUGAACGCUGGCGGCAUGCCUUACACAUGCAAGUCGAACGGCAGCGCGGGCUUCGGCCUGGCGGCGAGUGGCGGACGGGUGAGUAGUGCAUCGGAACGUGCCCAGGAGUGGGGGAUAACGUAGCGAAAGUUACGCUAAUACCGCAUACGUACUGAGGUAGAAAGCGGGGGAUCGAAAGACCUCGCGCUCAUGGAGCGGCCGAUGUCGGAUUAGCUAGUUGGGGAGGUAAAAGCUCACCAAGGCUACGAUCCGUAGCUGGUCUGAGAGGACGACCAGCCACACUGGGACUGAGACACGGCCCAGACUCCUACGGGAGGCAGCAGUGGGGAAUCUUGGACAAUGGGGGAAACCCUGGUCCAGCAAUGCCGCGUGUGGGAUGAAGGCCCUCGGGUUGUAAACCACUUUUGGCAGGAAAGAAAUCGCCUGUGCUAAUACCAUGGGCGGAUGACGGUACCUGCAGAAUAAGCACCGGCUAACUACGUGCCAGCCGCCGCGGUAA